rnacentral:rRNA from 1 species
UACGAAGGGUGCGAGCGUUAAUCGGAAUUACUGGGCGUAAAGCGUGCGCAGGCGGUUUUGUAAGCCAGAUGUGGAAGCCCCGGGCUUAACCUGGGAAUGGCAUUUGGGACUGCAAGGCUUGAGUGCGGCAGAGGAGACUGGAAUUCCCGGUGUAGCAGUGAAAUGCGUAGAUAUCGGGAGGAAUACCGAUGGCGAAGGCAGGUCUCUGGGCUGACACUGACGCUCAUGCACGAAAGCGUGGGGAGCGAACGGG